AUCUGCCCACUGAUAUGUAUAUAUUAAAGGGCUGCAGUAUAUUGACUGUACAAAGGUAGCAUAAUCAUUAGUCUUUUAAUUGAAGACUUGUAUGAAAGAUUUGAUGAAAUAUAAACUGUCUCUGAUUUAUUUUUAGAAAUUAAUUUUUUAGUUAAAAAGCUAAAAUAAAAUUAAAAGACGAGAAGACCCUAUAGAGUUUUAUAUUUAGUUUAUUUAAUAUUAAAUAUAUAAUUAAAUUAUAUUAAAAAAAUAAAAUAUUGUGUUGGGGUGAUAGAAAAAUUUAAUAAACUUUUUUUUGUAAUUAUACAUAAAUAAGUGAUUAAUUGAUCCAUUUUUAGUGAUUAUAAGAAAAAAUUACCUUAGGGAUAACAGCGUAAUAUUUUUUUUUAGUACAUAUAAAAAAAAAAGUUUGCGACCUCGAUGUUGGAUUAAGAUAAAAUUUAAAUGCAAAAGUUUAAAAUUUUGAUCUGUUCGAUCAUUAAAAUCUUACAUGAUCUGA
rnacentral:rRNA from 1 species